UGGGGAAUUUUGGACAAUGGGCGAAAGCCUGAUCCAGCAAUGCCGCGUGUGUGAAGAAGGCCUUCGGGUUGUAAAGCACUUUUGUCCGGAAAGAAAUCCUUGGCUCUAAUACAGUCGGGGGAUGACGGUACCGGAAGAAUAAGCACCGGCUAACUACGUGCCCGCAGCCGCGGUAAUACGUAGGGUGCAAGCGUUAAUCGGAAUUACUGGGCGUAAAGCGUGCGCAGGCGGUUUGCUAAGACCGAUGUGAAAUCCCCGGGCUCAACCUGGGAACUGCAUUGGUGACUGGCAGGCUAGAGUAUGGCAGAGGGGGGUAGAAUUCCACGUGUAGCAGUGAAAUGCGUAGAGAUGUGGAGGAAUACCGAUGGCGAAGGCAGCCCCCUGGGCCAAUACUGACGCUCAUGCACGAAAAGCGUGGGGAGCAAACAGGAUUAGAUACCCUGGUAGUCCACGCCCUAAAACGAUGUCAACUAGUUGUUGGGGAUUCAUUCCUUAGUAACGUAGCUAACGCGUGAAGUUGACCGCCUGGGGAGUACGGUCGCAAGAUUAAAACUCAAAGGAAUUGACGGGGUCAUA
rnacentral:rRNA from 1 species